CCUACGGGAGGCAGCAGUGGGGAAUAUUGGUCAAUGGGCGCAAGCCUGACCCAGCAAUGCCGCGUGAAGGAAGAAGGCUUUCUGGUUUUAAACUUCUUUGACAGGGGAAGAGCAGAAGACUGUACCCUAACAACAAGCCACGGCUCACUACGUGCCAGCAGCCGCGUUAAUACGUAGGUGGCAAGCGUUGUCCGGAUUUACUGGGUGUAAAGGGCGUGUAGCCGGGAAGGCAAGUCAGAUGUGAAAUCCGGAGGCUCAACCUCCGAAUUGCAUUUGAAACUGUUUUUCUUGAGUACGGGAGAGGUAGACGGAAUUCCUUGUGUAGCGGUGAAAUGCGUAGAUAUAAGGAGGAACACCAGUGGCGAAGGCGGUAUGCUGGAGAGCAACUGACGGUGAGGCGCGAAAGCGUGGGGAGCAAACAGGAUUAGAUACCCUUGUAGUC
rnacentral:rRNA from 1 species